AUACGUAGGGGGCGAGCGUUGUCCGGAAUGAUUGGGCGUAAAGGGCGCGUAGGCGGCCCGGUAAGUCUGGAGUGAAAGUCCUGUUUUUAAGAUGGGAAUUGCUUUGGAUACUGUCGGGCUUGAGUGCAGGAGAGGUAAGUGGAAUUCCCAGUGUAGCGGUGAAAUGCGUAGAGAUUGGGAGGAACACCGGUGGCGAAGGCGGCUUACUGGACUGUAACUGACGUUGAGGCUCGAAAGCGUGGGGAGCAAACAGGAUUAGAUACCCUGGUAGUCCACGCGGUAAACGAUGAAUGCUAGGUGUUGCGGGUAUCGACCCCUGCAGUGCCGGAGUAAACACAAUAAGCAUUCCGCCUGGGGAGUACGGCCGCAAGGUUGAAACUCAAAUGAAUUGACGGGG
rnacentral:rRNA from 1 species